AAUUUAGCUGUGAAGAAGAAGAGUAUAUAGAAAUUUAGUUUUAAAGAGAGUUAAAUAUUUUGCUGAGAAUUUAACAUACUAAACUAUAGAAGGAAGCUUUUGAGCUAUAAGUUUAGCCUAAAACUAGGGCAAAAACUAUGGGUUCUCCCAUUAAAGAGAAAAUAAGUGGAUUAAUUAGUUUUAAUCAAUUUAGGUGGUAACGCGGAAUAUAGUCUUUCGUCCUAAAG
rnacentral:ncRNA from 1 species